rnacentral:rRNA from 1 species
ACUCCUACGGGAGGCAGCAGUGGGGAAUAUUGCACAAUGGGGGAAACCCUGAUGCAGCCAUGCCGCUUGUGUGAAGAAGGCCUUCGGGUUGUAAAGCACUUUCAGCGAGGAGGAAAGGGUGUGUGUUAAUACCAUACAUCUGUGACGUUACUCGCAGAAGAAGCACCGGCUAACUCCGUGCCAGCAGCCGCGGUAAUACGGAGGGUGCGAGCGUUAAUCGGAAUUACUGGGCGUAAAGCGCAUGCAGGCGGCCUGUUAAGUCAGAUGUGAAAGCCCGGGGCUUAACCUCGGAAUUGCAUUUGAAACUGGCAGGCUAGAGUCUUGUAGAGGGGGGUAGAAUUUCAGGGUGUAGCGGUGAAAUGCGUAGAGAUCUGAAGGAAUACCAGUGGCGAAGGNGGCCCCCUGGACAAAGACUGACGCUCAGAUGCGAAAGCGUGGGGAGCAAACAGGAUUAGAUACCCUGGUAGCUA